GCUGGCGGCAGGCCUAACACGUGCAAGUCGAGCGGUAACAUUUCUAGCUUGCUAGAAGAUGACGAGCGGCGGACGGGUGAGUAACGCGUAGAAAUCUACCUAGUAGUGGGGGAUAGCCCAGAGAAAUUUGGAUUAAUACCGCAUACGCCCUACGGGGGAAAGCGGGGGAUCUUCGGACCUCGUGCUAUUAGAUGAGUCUGCGUCGGAUUAGCUUGUUGGUGAGGUAAUGGCUCACCAAGGCGACGAUCCGUAGCUGGUCUGAGAGGAUGACCAGCCACACUGGAACUGAGACACGGUCCAGACUCCUACGGGAGGCAGCAGUGGGGAAUAUUGCACAAUGGGCGCAAGCCUGAUGCAGCCAUGCCGCGUGUGUGAAGAAGGCCUUAGGGUUGUAAAGCACUUUCAGCAGUGAGGAAAGGGGUGUCGUUAAUAGCGCCAUCCUGUGACGUUAACUGCAGAAGAAGGACCGGCUAACUCCGUG
rnacentral:rRNA from 1 species